AUAGGGGAGCCGCAGGGAAACCGAGUCUUAACUGGGCGUUAAGUUGCAGGGUAUAGACCCGAAACCCGGUGAUCUAGCCAUGGGCAGGUUGAAGGUUGGGUAACACUAACUGGAGGACCGAACCGACUAAUGUUGAAAAAUUAGCGGAUGACUUGUGGCUGGGGGUGAAAGGCCAAUCAAACCGGGAGAUAGCUGGUUCUCCCCGAAAGCUAUUUAGGUAGCGCCUCGUGAAUUCAUCUUCGGGGGUAGAGCACUGUUUCGGCUAGGGGGUCAUCCCGACUUACCAACCCGAUGCAAACUACGAAUACCGAAGAAUGUUAUCACGGGAGACACACGGCGGGUGCUAACGUCCGUCGUGAAGAGGGAAACAACCCAGACCGCCAGCUAAGGUCCCAAAGUCAUGGUUAAGUGGGAAACGAUGUGGGAAGGCCCAGACAGCCAGGAUGUUGGCUUAGAAGCAGCCAUCAUUUAAAGAAAGCGUAAUAGCUCACUGGUCGAGUCGGCCUGCGCGGAAGAUGUAACGGGGCUAAACCAUGCACCGAAGCUGCGGCAGCGACACUAUGUGUUGUUGGGUAGGGGAGCGUUCUGUAAGCCGUUGAAGGUGGCCUGUGAGGGUUGCUGGAGGUAUCAGAAGUGCGAAUGCUGACAUAAGUAACGAUAAUGCGGGUGAAAAACCCGCACGCCGGAAGACCAAGGGUUCCUGUCCAACGUUAAUCGGGGCAGGGUGAGUCGACCCCUAAGGCGAGGCCGAAAGGCGUAGUCGAUGGGAAACAGGUUAAUAUUCCUGUACUUGGUGUUACUGCGAAGGGGGGACGGAGAAGGCUAUGUUGGCCGGGCGACGGUUGUCCCGGUUUAAGCAUGUAGGCGGAUGUUCCAGGUAAAUCCGGAACGU
rnacentral:rRNA from 1 species